rnacentral:lncRNA from 1 species
AAUAAUCUUAAGGGUUGAAAAUAAUCUAUGUGAGGUGUUCCUAACAAUCCAAGUGUAUGCAUAUGAUGAGAUGACCUAAGGGUGGAGUUUAGGGAGAAAAUAGAAAUAAGGGGGGGGGGGGUUAGGAGAUUAGGGUUCCAAACCUUGGGUUGAGAUUUUGGGAUGUUACAAACCUACCCCACUUAAAGGAAUCUCGCCCUCGAGAUUUAGACUGGAUUUGAGAAAAGAUAAGGGUAUUCCCUCCUCAAGGAGUCCUCACUCUCCGAGGUAGUUUCCUCUUCUCCUUCUCUGCUCCACUGAACUUUACAGAGUUUCACUUCUGAGGUACGUGUAUUCCAGACUGCUGAAUCAAGGAUCUUUACUGGCUUCUCACGGUACUGAAGAUCUUUCUGAAUCUGCACUACCUCUUCUUCGAUGUGACUUUCUGGUGCUUGCAGGCAUUUGCGGAGCUGGGAUACGUGAAACACAUUGUGGAUGUCAGACAUGGAUUCUGGUAGUUCAAGACGGUAUGCUGUGGGUCCCACUCUGCCAAUGAUGGGAUAGGGACCGACGAAUCGCGGUGCUAGCUUUCCUUUUACUUGGAACCUUCUGACACCACGCAUCGGGGAGACCUUGAGGUAGACAAAGUCUCCUUCCUCAAAUCUGAGUUCUCUCCGCCUGUUGUCCGCAUAACUCUUCUGCUGACUCUGAGCUUCAAGUAAUCUUCUGCGGAUCAGGACAACUUUCUCCUCAGCCUCUUUGACAAAGGCAUGCCCUUCCAGUGCCUUUUCCCCUACGUUGGACCACAUGAGAGGGGUCUGGCAUUUUCGUCCAUACAAUGCUUCGAACGGUGACAUCUUGAUGCUGGCCUGAUAGCUGUUAUUAUACGAGAACUUCGCAUAGGGCAAACUGGAUUCCCAACUUCUAUCGAAUGCUAGCACACAGGCUCUUAAUAGAUCUUCGAGGACCUUGUUGACUCUUUCUGUCUGCCCGUCUGUCUGAGGGUGAUAGGCGGUGCUAAAAUCUAGCUUGGUGCCCAUAGCUUUCUGAAGGCUUGUCCAGAAUUUGGAGGUGAACUGGGUUCUUGUGUCUGACACUAUCUUUCUUGGAAUGCCAUGGAGUCUGACUAUCUCUUUGAGAUAAAUUCGGGCAAGGGUGGCUCCUCCAAAGGUAGUUUUCACUAGGAUGAAAUGGGCUACCUUGGUGAGGCGAUCUAUUAUUACCCAGAUGGAGUCAUUCCCUUUUUGCGUCCGGGGUAGUCCGGUUACAAAAUCCAUGCCUAUUUCUUCCCAUUUCCAUUCCGGCACUGGGAGGGGUUGCAAUAGGCCUGCAGGUUUUUGGUGCUCGGCCUUCGUUCGUUGGCAGGUGUCACACCAGGCCACAUACUGUGCUAUCUCUUUCUUCAUUCCUCUCCACCAGUAUCUGGUUUUGAGGUCUAGGUACAUCUUGGUAGUUCCUGGGUGGAUGGAGUAGGCUGAGUUGUGAGCUUCCUCGAGCAGGACUUCUCAUGCCUCUCCUUUUGGUACACACAGACGAUUCUUGAACCAAAGGGCUCCUUGUUCAUAUGUCCUGAGGUCCGGGAGUUGUUCCUUGCGAGCUUUUUCCACAAGUCUUGCUGUCUCUGAGUCUAGGCGUUGAGCUUUGCAUAUGAGGUCUUCUAGCAUUGGUUUGACUUCGAGACUGCCGUUGUUUCCCAAACAUGCAUUCAGUUGAGCUGAUUCCUUCUUCCAAUCUUCUAAAAAGUUGGUUCCCUUUAUUUCGAAAGGUUUUCGGCUGAGGGCGUCUGCUACCACGUUGGCCUUUCCGGGGUGGUAAUGAAUCUCAAGGUCAUAGUCUUUGAUCAGUUCCAACCAUCUUUGUUGACGGAGAUUGAGAUCUGGCUGAGUGAAGAUAUACCUCAGACUCUUGUGAUCGGUGAAGAUGUGACAUUUGUUCCCAAUUAGGUAAUGCCUCCAUAUCUUCAAAGCAUGCACUAUGGAUGCCAAUUCCAAAUCAUGGGUGGGAUAAUUCUGCUCAUGUGACUUAAGUAGGCGCGAUGCAUAAGCAAUGACUUCCUCGUUUUGCAUCAGCACACACCCUAAGCCUUGCCUCGAGGCAUCACAGAAGACGACGAAAUCCUGAUGUAUAUCUGGUAGUGUCAAAACGGGUGCGGUCGUGAGCUUAUCCUUUAUGAUCUGAAAACUUCCUUCACAUUUUGGGGUCCACACAAACUUAUGGUCUUUCUUGAGGAGCUCGGUCAUAGGUCUUGCUAUGCUGGAGAAUCCCUUGAUAAAGCGGCGGUAAUAUCCUGCCAUUCCCAGAAAGCUUCGAACUUCACUGACGUUGGAUGGCUGCCUCCAUUUUGAUACUGCUUCCACCUUGGAAGGGUCUACUUCUAUUCCUUCCGCGGUCAAGAUAUGCCCAAGGAAGGCUAUCUUUUCCAACCAGAAUUCACAUUUACUGAGUUUAGCAUAAAGUUGGUGUGCCCUGAGUUUUCCGAGGACGGUCCGAAGGUGACGCUUAUGGUCUUCGCGGUUCUUGGAGUAGAUAAGGAUGUCGUCAAUGAAGACCACGACAAACUUAUCCAGCUCUUACAUAAACACUUUGUUCAUGAGGUUCAUGAAAAAGGCGGGUGCGUUUGUCAGUCCGAAAGGCAUCACUGUGAAUUCAUAUUGUCCGUACCGGGUGACAAAUGCAGUCUUCUGGAUAUCUGCUUCCUUGAUUCUCAAUUGGUGCUAACCAGACCUUAGGUCUAUUUUGGAGAAGUAUUUGGCCCCUUGAAGUUGAUCGAAGAGGUCGUCGAUCCGAGGAAGUGGAUACUUGUUCUUGAUGGUGACUUCAUUUAACGAUCGGUAAUCAAUACACAUCCUCAUACUUCCAUCUUUCUUAGAGAUGAAAAGGACUGGUGCUCCCCAAGGGGAUGAGCUGGGACGAAUGUACCCUUUUUGUUGAAGAUCUGCGAUUUGGAGCUUCAAUUCUGCUAACUCGGUAGGAGCCAUGCGGUAUGGUCUCUUUGCGAUGGGUGUCGUUCUAGGAAUCAGAUCUAUGUAGAAUUCCACUUCUCUUUCUGGUGGCAUUCCUGGUAACUCUUCUGGGAACACAUCCAUGAAUUCUUCUACCACUGAUAUGUUUUCUGUUGCUAGAUUAAACAUCAUUGGAUCAUUGGCGGGUGGCUGAGCCUGACAAGAGACUGACUUUCCUUGGUGGUCUGUGAGAAGGACUGUCUUGUUUGCGCAACUGAUGAUACCUUUGUGUUUGGUCAACCAAUCCAUCCCUAAGAUCACAUCAAUCCCUUGGGAUGGCAAGACGGUUAAGUCUGCCAAGAACACUACCCCACUUAAAAGGAUUCUGACUUGGGAGCAUUUGAGCUGACAUAAAAGGUCUGACCCUAGGGUCCGGGUGACCAAGGGAAUCUCUAGAGGGGUAGAGGGAAUGCCAUGCUUUUCCACAAAACUAGUGGCUAUAAAAGAAUGGGAUGCUCCUGAAUCGAAAAGUACAUGUAGUGAAGGAUGACAAACCGGUCCUUAUACGAGAGGACAAUCCUUCUGCUCACGCCUAAACCAGCUGAGCCAUCACCUUAGGCCCUCUCCUAAACCAGGGAGUCCCUGAUCAUCCUACUCACCAGGUGAUGAGGGUGAAUACCCUUCAUCGCACACUUUUUGGAAAACAUCGUUGUUCAUACCCUUUUCUUAUCCCAUAUCUUGUGAUCAAAAGGUAUUAGUUAAUGCGGGCUCUCUCAUGUACACCAUGCAAAUAGAUUCCAUCCCUUAAUUUCGGCUUAGGUAGUGGUAGAGAGAAAUAGGUAAAUUAUGCAUCAAGGGAAGGAUGAACUUGCUUUCGUCGAAGCUUUCCUGGCACAAAAGAAAAAGGGAAUUCCUGCUUGCUGGGCCGGGGGGAGAUUUCGACCCACCCGGGCGCGAGCGCGCGCGCGCAAGCGCUGCAGGCGGCCCAGUCGUCCCAUCAGCGAGGGAGACGACAGGGAACGGCGUCGUGGCAUGGGCCCACAUGUCAGCGAGGGAAGGGGGUUUUAACGGUGCGGAGCGGCGACGGAGGGGGGGCGAACCGGUCGGCUCGACCGCCGGCGAUGCCCGCGACGGUUCUCCGUCGUGGGUCCGGUUCUGUGGCGGGGGAGCGGUGGCGAGGCACGGGCGGUGGUAGGGGGUCACGGGGAUGGGGUCAAUUCGACCGGUGGAGGCCUAGGGUUGCCGGUCCACGGCACGGUGGCAGGUGCUCGCGGCGGUGAGGUAGCCAGUGAGGCAGCCGAGCGCAAUAGGAGGUGGGGAGAGGUGUCUUGCAAUCGUGAGUGUGUGGUGGAGCUCAAGCACCAAAGUAAUUCGACCGAAGGCUACCAGAGAGGCGAGAACGGAGCUCAACGGAGUGACAGGGGAACGCGGCGGCGCUAGCUCGAUUGGGCUCGGGGAGGAGUGGAGGAGAUGGUCGGGGCUGAUGUGGAGGAAACGGAGCUCGGGCGGUCCCUUUUAUAGGCGCCCGGGAGGGGGAAGGGAGGGAUGGGACGACGAGCGCCGACGAGCUUGCCAUGAUGGCGGGGAUGGAGCAAACGGCGACGAGAUGGCUCGGGCAGGCGAGGGGUGAGGGGACGGCUCGGGUACAGUGGCGGGGUGGUCGCUGAGGCCGGUGCGAGCGUUAAUGGCGAAGCGACGGGGCGUGAGGCGGUCGAUGGCGAAAUCGCCGGUGAUGGCAUGGGCGGGACGAUGGUCCUGACAGGCGGGCCCGGGAUACCAGUGGGAGAGCGGCGCGAGAGGGAGAGGGGUGGAGCCGCUGACCGGUGGGGCCGGGUUGUCAGGCGCGGCGUGGGCGCGCGCAGCUGGGUCGUUUGGGCCGUGGGAGGAGAGGGGGGGAAGAGCGGGUGCGGCGCGGUUUGGGCCAAAAUCGACCCAGCCGAGGGGGAAGGAUUUUUCUUUUUUUUCUUUUUCUGUUUUCUAUUUCAUUUUUCCAUUUUCUAUUUUUGUUUCUUUUUAUUUCCUUUUCUUUUGAAUCAACAAUUUGCUGAAUAAUCUUAAGGGUUGAAAAUAAUCUAUGUGAGGUGUUCCUAACAAUCCAAGUGUAUGCAUAUGAUGAGAUGACCUAAGGGUGGAGUUUAGGGAGAAAAAUAGAAAUAAGGGGGGGGGUUAGGAGAUUAGGGUUCCAAACCUUGGGUUGAGAUUUUGGGAUGUUACACUUGGUCCCUUGGGUGGAAACCCAAAGGAUCGAAUUGUUUGGUGCCUGUCCUGCUGCUGAGCUUGGAGGACUUGGAAUUUCCUCUUGAGGUGACCCUUUUCCAUU